ACGUACACUCCUACGGGAGGCAGCAGUGGGGAAUAUUGCACAAUGGGCGCAAGCCUGAUGCAGCCAUGCCGCGUGUGUGAAGAAGGCCUUCGGGUUGUAAAGCACUUUCAGCGGGGAGGAAGGCAAUGCGGUUAAUAACCGUGUUGAUUGACGUUACCCGCAGAAGAAGCACCGGCUAACUCCGUGCCAGCAGCCGCGGUAAUACGGAGGGUGCAAGCGUUAAUCGGAAUUACUGGGCGUAAAGCGCACGCAGGCGGUCUGUCAAGUCGGAUGUGAAAUCCCCGGGCUCAACCUGGGAACUGCAUUCGAAACUGGCAGGCUUGAGUCUUGUAGAGGGGGGUAGAAUUCCAGGUGUAGCGGUGAAAUGCGUAGAGAUCUGGAGGAAUACCGGUGGCGAAGGCGGCCCCCUGGACAAAGACUGACGCUCAGGUGCGAAAGCGUGGGGAGCAAACAGGAUUAGAAACCCGUGUAGUCCCAUGAU
rnacentral:rRNA from 1 species